AGCAGCACGAGCUGUGGCUUCCUGCCUCCCCAGGCGGCUUCGGUUCCAAGGGUGCCCGGCUGCCUAGCGUCCCGCAGUGUCCAGGGCUUUCAGACCUCACCUAAGGUCCUAAAGAUGUCCUCAUUCUCCAGAGUGGCACUGCCUCUACCAAGGAGGACACUUUGAAGUGUUGGUCCCGGCUAGAGGCGCCCUCUGUUACUGACUGGUACCUGACUUCAGUGCGAUGAACUUGGCCUACAUCCCUGAAUGCUGCAUUUACAACCAGCUUUCCUUGCUUGACAGCAGACUUCAUUGAAUAAAAAGAGGCAAUUCCAAAGGUUAUUGCAAGAUUACAGCAUAGCAGGUCUGGACAAAGGCACUGUGGAAUGUGGGAGGAUGACUGACUGGGGCCUGGAGGAAGUGACAUUGGCU
rnacentral:lncRNA from 1 species